rnacentral:rRNA from 1 species
AACGAACGCUGGCGGCAGGCUUAACACAUGCAAGUCGAACGCACCUUCGGGUGAGUGGCAGACGGGUGAGUAACGCGUGGGAACCUUCCCUGUGGUACGGAAUAGCUCCGGGAAACUGGAAUUAAUACCGUAUACGCCCUUUUGGGGAAAGAUUUAUCGCCAUAGGAUGGGCCCGCGUCGGAUUAGCUUGUUGGUAGGGUAAUGGCCUACCAAGGCAACGAUCCGUAGCUGGUCUUAGAGGAUGAUCAGCCACACUGGGACUGAGACACGGCCCAGACUCCUACGGGAGGCAGCAGUGGGGAAUAUUGGACAAUGGGCGAAAGCCUGAUCCAGCCAUGCCGCGUGAGUGACGAAGGCCUUAGGGUUGUAAAACUCUUUUUGGCGGGGUACGAUAAUGACGGUACCCGCAGAAUAAGCCCCGGCUAACUUCGUGCCAGCGCCGCGGUAA